rnacentral:rRNA from 1 species
CCUGAGAAACCCAAAAGAUCGAAUGAGGAGAUUCAUCGUCAGCACAUUUUGUAUAUGUAUGAGUUAUGAUGCGGCUUACUGUUUCAGUAUUGCCUGUACAUUCUUGUAUAUUUAGUUGCAUUAUGUUGUCGGCGUGCACUUCUCCUCUAGUAGGACGUCGCGACCCGUUGGAUGUCGGUCUACGGCCCAAGUGAUAGUCUUUAGUGUAAUUAAAAAACAUUGAAGAUCCUUGGUGUUUUCUGACCGGCUAUUCGGCGGUACUCGUACGGUAUUUAGCCGCUAAUUUAUUAGCGUCCAUGCCCGUCACAAGCGAGGCUAAUUUUACUGAUAGUACGGACCAAGUGCCGUCGUUGGUAUUGGCCAGCUGUUGGUUGUACGGUGUUCUGGGACUGGCUAAAAACUUAAAUUACCGGUCAGCGAUGCUACUGCUUUGGGUACUUUCAGG